CCCUUAGAUGUUCUGGGCCGCAUACGCGCUACACUGAAGGAGGCAGCGUGUACUCCUGGAUCGAAAGAUUUGGGUAACCCGCGAAUCUCCUUCGUGCUAGGGAUUGAGGUUUGCAAUUAUCCUUCAUGAACGAGGAAUUCCCAGUAAGUGCAAGUCAUAAGCUUGCGCUGACUACGUCCCUGCCCUUUGUACACACCGCCCGUCGCUACUACCGAUUGAAUGAUUUAGUGAGGACUUCGGACUGGGACCGAUGCGGCUUUCGGGCUGCGUCGGUAUUCUGGAAAGAUGUCCAAACUGUAUCAUUUAGAGGAAGUAAAANUCGUAACA
rnacentral:rRNA from 1 species